UGCACACAUGACUGCAAGUCCCUUUGGAUAAAAGUGUUUGCUAAACGGCAGAUA
rfam:Salmo salar isolate Sally breed double haploid chromosome ssa12, whole genome shotgun sequence.